GACUGAUCGGCCACAAUGGAACUGAGACACGGUCCAUACUCCUACGGGAGGCAGCAGUAGGGAAUCUUCCACAAUGGGCGCAAGCCUGAUGGAGCAACACCGCGUGAGUGAAGAAGGGUUUCGGCUCGUAAAACUCUGUUGUUGGAGAAGAACGUGCGUAAGAGUAACUGUUUACGCAGUGACGGUAUCCAACCAGAAAGUCACGGCUAACUACGUGCCAGCAGCCGCGGUAAUACGUAGGUGGCAAGCGUUAUCCGGAUUUAUUGGGCGUAAAGCGAGCGCAGGCGGUUGCUUAGGUCUGAUGUGAAAGCCUUCGGCUUAACCGAAGAAGUGCAUCGGAAACCGGGCGACUUGAGUGCAGAAGAGGACAGUGGAACUCCAUGUGUAGCGGUGGAAUGCGUAGAUAUAUGGAAGAACACCAGUGGCGAAGGCGGCUGUCUGGUCUGCAACUGACGCUGAGGCUCGAAAGCAUGGGUAGCGAACAGGAUUAGAUACCCUGGUAGUCCAUGCCGUAAACGAUGAGUGCUAGGUGUUGGAGGGUUUCCGCCCUUCAGUGCCGAAGCUAACGCAUUAAGCACUCCGCCUGGGGAGUACGACCGCAAGGUUGAAACUCAAAGGAAUUGACGGGGGCCCGCACAAGCGGUGGAGCAUGUGGUUUAAUUCGAAGCUACGCGAAGAACCUUACCAGGUCUUGACAUCUUGCGCCAACCUCAGAGAUGAGGCGUUCCCUUCGGGGACGCAAAGACAGGUGGUGCAUGGUCGUCGUCAGCUCGUGUCGUGAGAUGUUGGGUUAAGUCCCGCAACGAGCGCAACCCUUGUUACUAGUUGCCAGCAUUCAGUUGGGCACUCUAGUGAGACUGC
rnacentral:rRNA from 1 species